AUUGUCCUAAGAGGGUAUAAUAUAUAUAGGGAGGUCAGAGGCAGAGAUUCUGGGUUAGGCCACUUCAUGGUAUCAUCAUGACUAAGGUAACCAGGAAGCCACGGCAGUCAAGAAGAGUUGCAACGUGGUUUGCUUCAAGGAUGAAAGGAAGAAAGAAGAGCCUUUGUCAAUGGAGACACAGAGGCAGAAUGAAGGCACAAAUAUGACCAUGAGGGUCAGAAGACCUCUAGAAGGGACCUUGAGAAAGAAAAUCUGAUCAUAUGCCACUCAAUCAAAGAAGGUGAAGAAAACAAGAAAACCAAACUGUUUUUUUCUGUCCCUGUGCAUGUAAGAAACUGAAUCAAACCCGAAAAAGGUACCAAAAUAUGAGGCAGAGUCAAAGGAGGAGGCAGAAUCAAAAGAAAAGAUAAGCUCAGCUGCCCCAGAAUAAGAGACCCUGGAGAAGUACAAACUGGGCAGCCAGUAAGUGAAUAGAAAAGAUCAGACAGUUUAGAAUUGUGUCUCCAGAGGUCUGCUUUCUUAGAAAUGGCCAACCAGGAAAAGACUGACUCUCACAGUAACAUAGUAAACUGAUGGCUGCAAUUAAAAUAAACAUCAAAUGGUGAAAAGAUGA